GCUUAACCCUAAACUUAGAUACUUUAAAUACAAAAUUAUCCGCCAGAAAACUACGAGCAAAACGCUUAAAACUCCAAGGACUUGGCGGUACCUCAAAUCCACCUAGAGGAGCCUGUUCUAUAAUCGAUAAUCCACGAUAAACCUCACCAUCCUUUGCCAACUCAGCCUAUAUACCACCGUCACAGCCUACCUUAUGAAAGUCAAAAAGUAAGCUCAAUAGCUGUUACAGCUAAAAAGUCAGGUCAAGGUGUAGCCAAUUAAGAUGGAAGAAAUGGGCUACAUUUUCUAUAAUAGAAAUCAAAACCACGGAACAGAACUGUGAAACACAGUCUAGAUUAAGAAGGAUUUAGCAGUAAAUUGCGAGCAGAGAGCCCAAUUUAAAGCGGACCUGAGGUGCGC
rnacentral:rRNA from 1 species